ACUACUCUUAGGGAUUCCACCUGGCUUUUAUUUGAUUGGCACAGCCAGUAUUUGGGGCUGCCUGGCUGGUGCCAAUAUUGGAGUGAUACUGGCAAUACAAAUGCUGGUAUUUUUCUCAGUAUAAACAAGAGAUUACUAUGCAAUACCAGCACUGGCCAGUAGGGGUCGCUGUAUGUGGAGACAAGCAGGGAUAGGAAGUUCCAGCAUAUCCCUCCCUGCCUAUCUAUACUCACUGAUCUGCAGGCGUGCAGCUACAGAGAGUCCAGACAGCAACUCCCACCCUGCAGAGACAGCCUACAGCUCAGGGAAGUAAGAGAUGGGG
rnacentral:lncRNA from 1 species